CGGAGCCCCAUAGGUAUAGAAAUGGUCUAUAACUAGGCGACUCAGUUUUUGUGGUCAAUGACGUCAUUGUCACAAGCUGCCAUCCAUCCAGCCAGCCGCGAUCUGCCUAGGCACAGGCCUCCAGAGCGCGCAAAACAAUAUGGCGGAUGAGUAGUUUUGCCUCUCUCAAAAACACACGAAAACUGACUGCAGAAAAGCCAAGUAUUGUCGAAAAAUAAGUGCUUGAAAAAAAUCAUUCGUGGGAAUGCUAACCACCGAUAUAAACUUGUCUAAUUGUGCGUAAAAGACUGUAUAAAAGCAUGGUUGAAAGUUUUGAAGAGUCAAGUCUUGUGCUCGAGUCAAGGUUAAUCUCAGCCAGAGAUUCUGAAAUCAAGCUGAGACACAAGCUGCUGGCUAAGAGGCAUGACCCAGGGCAGGAUGUACAUAUAAGGCAUUAGUAUUUAAUGUAGGUCACCAAAAAUAAACACAUAUAAAGUAACAAAAAAUAAGAUAAUAUUUUAAUGGAAAAAUUGUUCUAAAAAAUGAAACAGAGUUAUAAAAGUAAAAAAAAACUAGUUUUAUUUUCCAAGUUAGCCUUUCAGGUUCUUGUAUAAUGUGUGGUUAGUUAAAUUUAGAAUAUUAUAAAUAGUCUCUUGCUAUUUUAAUGACUCAUUGUAAAGUAAUUGAGGUAGUAAGUUAAUCAUAAAAAACAAAAACAGGUCUCCUAUAUGAUCCCUUAAGAUCAUAUAUAAAAUUAUUUAGAAAUCAAUUUUCCUAUUUCAACCUAUUUCAAAUAUAGGCAAAAUAGAUGCUUUAUAAUAAGGAUUAUAAUUUGAUAAUUUAAGGUUAACAGACUGUUUAUUCUAGGUUUUUAUAUGUGGUUCUUAACUGUAUAAUAAAAUAAUGUACUCAGAA